CUAGGCCUGGCUCCUAAGUCCACUUGCUUUCCAUUAUUUUACCUGGUUCUUGAAGUUUUCUUAUUUCUCUGAAUAUCAGAUUUCCAUAGUGCAGUUAAACAUGAUUUGAUUGAUCAGUAUUUGGUUUCCACUUGGUUUUUUAGGAACUCAUUCAAUUACUGAUUCAUUCAGCUAAUAUUUAUUUUCGUAUCUCCCGUGUGUCAGGCACUGCUGGGCACUGAGAAUACAAGAUUAAUGAGAUGUGGCUCCUGUUCCUGAGACGCUUUCAGGGAGGGAACAGAUAUGCAAAAAACCCCAUACUUAUGAUCCAGUAUGAGAGCCAGGUUAGAGGUAAAGUAGUGCCCCUCCUGCCCCCCAUCUGUGGUUUUGCUUACAGGGUUUCAGUUCCCUAUGCUCAGCCAUGGUCUGGAAGCAGAUAAUUCUCCUGACAUACCAUAGAUGAACACUGCAUCACAAUGCCUAUGUCAUUCACUGUACUUCGUCUUAUCAUAUCGGGAUUUUAUCAUCUCGCAUCAUCACAAGAAGAAGAAGGGCAUUGCACCUAUCAGAGGAAAUGUACCAUCUGAAGAUUUAAAGCCAUUCCAGGCUGCAUGCAGCCCUUGGCACCGGCUGAAGCAUUUAUACAGAAACGUGGGUCACCUGGAUGCCCAGCCCUGUGGAUCUGGACGCUCAUUACCAAACAAGGCAUGAGCUCUCUGCAAUGCAAGC